CACCGCGGUUAAACGAGAGGCUCAAGUUGAUAAAUACGGCAGAAAGCGUGGUUAAGGAAUUUCAACUCAACUAAAGUCAAACGCUUCCAAAGCAGUCAUACGCACCCGAAAGUAUGAAGAUCACCAACGAAAGUGACUUUACUACCCCUGAACCCACGUAAGCUAAGACA
rnacentral:rRNA from 1 species